GUCCCGUGAUGAUCAACCCCCAUGCGUGUCAUCUGAACCCUCGAGCCCCGCCUUCCUCCCAGCCGGCGUUCUGCUGCGCAGGGGAAAGGCUGCGGGGUGUCGGGCACAGUGAUCAUAGCUAAGAAGGUGCCUGAGGAC